UUGGAGAGUUUGAUCCUGGCUCAGGACGAACGCUGGCGGCAUGCCUAAUACAUGCAAGUCGAGCGGAGUUAUGAAGGAGCUUGCUCCGGAUUAACUUAGCGGCGGACGGGUGAGUAACACGUAGGCAACCUGCCCUCAAGACUGGGAUAACUACCGGAAACGGUAGCUAAUACCGGAUAAUUUCUUUCCUCUCCUGAAGAGAGAAUGAAAGGCGGAGCAAUCUGCCACUUGGGGAUGGGCCUGCGGCGCAUUAGCUAGUUGGUGGGGUAACGGCUCACCAAGGCGACGAUGCGUAGCCGACCUGAGAGGGUGAACGGCCACACUGGGACUGAGACACGGCCCAGACUCCUACGGGAGGCAGCAGUAGGGAAUCUUCCGCAAUGGGCGCAAGCCUGACGGAGCAAUGCCGCGUGAGUGAUGAAGGUUUUCGGAUCGUAAAGCUCUGUUGCCAGGGAAGAACGUCCGGUAGAGUAACUGCUGCCGGAGUGACGGUACCUGAGAAGAAAGCCCCGGCUAACUACGUGCCAGCAGCCGCGGUAAUACGUAGGGGGCAAGCGUUGUCCGGAAUUAUUGGGCGUAAAGCGCGCGCAGGCGGUUAUUUA
rnacentral:rRNA from 1 species